GUAAAAUUGGGCCUGUGCCCCCUGAGUCUGGCUAUCAGGACAAGAGAGGUCUUCACAAAUCAAGGCGUGGAGGGCCCAGGGCCUGAGGUAGAAUGAGGGAAUGCCCGCUGAGAACAGCACAUUCUGACGCCUGGCCUGUCUUCUCCACCGGAGCGCAUUGCAUCCUGGGAGCUCGUGGCCAGACCCGCAGUCCCUCCAUAUGGUAUCCUAAAGCACCGACCCAGAUGAUUCUCAUUCUCGAGGGCCCUUGGGUGCCAGCUUGACCCGACUCUGGACUGGUGCCAGCGCUCUCCUGGGAGCCACACUGAAAAUAACCCCAAUCCAUCUUAGAGAGUGCCAGCUCAGUGUGCCGUCUGGGCAAAGGUCUGGGGCACUGCUCUCAACUUUGCUAACUAUUUCAAACUGUGCUGACGGCUCACCAAAUCUACAAACGCUUCUUUUAAUCAUCAGUUGCCCCAUAUUCCAAUCAAAUGCAGCUGUUUUAAAAAAAAAGCCAAUUUCAGCUUGAGGAAAAAUGAAGAAACCCACACCCUCCCAUGCACUCUAACUGAUGUUUAAUCAGAAUAACAAAGAGCUCCACUUUUCAGUUGGCACUACAGCCUUUGUUUGCAUAGUCUGCAUUCUAAAAGUCUGGUAAAUUGUUGUAAAAAAGCUUUUCACUGGAAAAAUAGUCUGUCAAUAAUGGAGUGGUGGAUAUGGCAACCAAAUAUUUUUAUAUUGGACACCUGAAAAUUGUGGUUUUCCUCUAUUGCAGGGCAUAACAGGGUCACAGUAGGUACAACAAGAUUGACUUGUGUGAUCUGUUCAUGGCGCUGUUUAGCCGUUUAAUUAAUCUAGCAAAGACACAAAAUCAUAUGUCUGCUAACCA